rnacentral:rRNA from 1 species
AGUGAACGCUGGCGGUAGGCCUAACACAUGCAAGUCGAACGGCAGCACAGUAGGAGCUUGCUCUUACGGGUGGCGAGUGGCGGACGGGUGAGGAAUACAUCGGAAUCUACUUUUUCGUGGGGGAUAACGUAGGGAAACUUACGCUAAUACCGCAUACGACCUACGGGUGAAAGCAGGGGAUCUUCGGACCUUGCGCGAUUGAAUGAGCCGAUGUCGGAUUAGCUAGUUGGCGGGGUAAAGGCCCACCAAGGCGACGAUCCGUAGCUGGUCUGAGAGGAAGAUCAGCCACACUGGAACUGAGACACGGUCCAGACUCCUACGGGAGGCAGCAGUGGGGAAUAUUGGACAAUGGGCGCAAGCCUGAUCCAGCCAUACCGCGUGGGUGAAGAAGGCCUUCGGGUUGUAAAGCCCUUUUGUUGGGAAAGAAAAGCAGCAGGUUAAUACCCCGCUGUUCUGACGGUACCCAAAGAAUAAGCACCGGCUAACUUCGUG